UUUCCUUCUCCACACUAUAGAUAUGAGGUUAUCUUAGAACGUAGCAUAGGAUAAUUUAUUUAUAAGUUAAAUUAAAUAAAAUAUAUUUCAAUAUUUGGAAAUUUAAGAUGUAGUCGCUAAGUAUCUUUAAAUUUAUUAAAGAUGGUUUCAAGUUUAAAGUUCAUAUGAACGGUGGCAAGUCUAAUUAGAAUCAAAGAUGGCGGAGUCAUCGCCCGGUUUACGAGUCCUUGAUUGUCCUAUAUCGGUCCAAGGGAAAUACCAUGGAUAAUAAUGUAAGGAUUGUUUUGAUGUUUUGUUAACCGAUGUGAACGCUUCUUCUGCAGACUCGGUUAAAAUCGUCGAACAUCAGGCAGGUCGAUUACAUCCUUACGUUAGGCCAGUACUUUAGCAGAUCCAUAAAGUAUUUAAAUGGCUUUCGUCGGUUCAAAACGCUAAGGACUUACAUCCGGUCUUCAGAGUAGACGUGUCCCCCCUUAGGGAUCGUUCUAGUUGGUACGCAGAUAUUUUAUGAGUUGGAGCUUCUGGCAGGCUUGUUCGCUAUGUAUCAGAGUAGCCACGAGAUUAGCUAAAUUGUUAGUUACGAUCAUUACACUCAGUUUUGAGUUUAGAUGUAACUGCUGUGAGAUAUGCAUUUGUAAGUUUCGGAUACGAUUUAAUAAAAAUUUUAAGAUUAUCAUAUAAUUUCAAAUUGUUUUUCAAUAAAUCUUUAGCAAACUAAGUAAUUAUUCAUUAAAUUACAGAGCUUGUAUUUCUAAUUAUUUUUGUAUUUGUUUUAUUAUUGUAACUGAAAAUUUAUUAUCAUUAGGUCCUAAUUCAGUAUAUACAUAUAUAUAUUAUAGAUCAAAAUCGUACAUGAAUUAUUAGAUUCGAGUUUAAGGUUAGUUUUACAAAAUCAUUAGUAGUAUUAUAAGCUACGAUAUUAAUACAUUUAACCCGGGCGAUGACGUAGAAAUAUUUUAGUUUUUAGGUUACAUUUAAAUAAUAUACGCAUUCAGCAUUUGACAACUUCUAGAAGUAAGCUAUAAGUAUAUGUUAGCUGUACGACAUAUUUGAUAGGAUAGUUCUAAGUGAUUACUAUUUAAUUACUUUUAUGUAUAUAUAAUAGUUAUAUAUCUUAUAGCAAUAAGAUGAUAGCUAUAUCUUAAGUAGCAAGUUAAUGCUAUCUUUAAGUAGAAGUAAUAAUGUCACAUAAUUUAUAUGUAUAUAAUUAGUGUACAUAUUCUGCAUUUCGAAAGAAAGCUUUGGAAUAAAACUAGGACACUCGUGCUCAGUGACCUAACACCUAUUAGGCUAGGUUGUAUGACCCCUGACAUCCAACGAAACCCAGACUUAGGGACAGGUUAGGAGACUUAGACAUAGGCUUCAGAAGCUAAGGUUUCGAAUCUAAACGUAUGUUUUAGAGUAACUGAUUAUUGCUUAACAUAAGCAGAAAAAUUGUAGUCAGCAGCGCAGGGCAGUCAUUGCACCGGAUCUUAAAUAACCAGUUCGUAAAUAUUAAUUUGAGAUAUAAAAAAAACAUUAAAACUCGUAAUCGGUGAUUUAUGUACGUGGAAAUUGUUAAAAUGAUAAAAAUGAAAUGUAAAAAUUAACUUUUGAUAAAAAUAAAUAAUUAAAUUUAUAUACACAAAA